rnacentral:ncRNA from 2 species
UAACUUGCAAUGUUUAGAACCGAAUAUAAUUAAGCGAUAUGGGCUUUAAGUUUCUACCGGACACCGUAAAUGUUCAGACUAUUGGUUCUAGAUAAACUCAG